AUUGAACGCUGGCGGCAGGCUUAACACAUGCAAGUCGAGCGGUAACAGAGAGGAGCUUGCUUCUCUGCUGACGAGCGGCGGACGGGUGAGUAAUGCCUGGGAAUCUGCCUGAUAGUGGGGGAUAACUUGCCGAAAGGUAAGCUAAUACCGCGUACGUCCUACGGGAGAAAGCAGGGGAUCUUCGGACCUUGCGCUAUCAGAUGAGCCCAGGCCGGAUUAGCUAGUUGGUGGGGUAAUGGCCCACCAAGGCGACGAUCCGUAGCUGGUCUGAGAGGAUGAUCAGCCACACCGGGACUGAGACACGGCCCGGACUCCUACGGGAGGCAGCAGUGGGGAAUAUUGGACAAUGGGGGGAACCCUGAUCCAGCCAUGCCGCGUGUGUGAAGAAGGUCUUCGGAUUGUAAAGCACUUUAAGUUGGGAGGAAGGGCUUUAGGUUAAUACCCUGAAGUUUUGACGUUACCAACAGAAUAAGCACCGGCUAACUUCGUG
rnacentral:rRNA from 1 species